rnacentral:RNase_P_RNA from 1 species
CGAGCAGCACAGAUGAUCGCGCCGCUUUGGCGGUGAGGAAAGUCCGGGCUAUACAGGGCAGGGUGCCGGAUAACGUCCGGUGGAGGCGACUCCAAGGCCAGUGCAACAGAAAAGAAACCGCCGCGCAUGGGCUUGUCUCAUGGCGGUAAGGGUGGAAUGGCAGUGUAAGAGACUACCGCCUUUCUGGUAACAGAAAGGGCUGUGUAAACCCCACUCAUAGCAAGACCAGACAGAAGGCGAUACGGCGGCCCGUCGUGCCUUCGGGUAGGCCGCGUUUUCGGUGCGGAAGCGCCGGAAGGAGCUGCAUGGCAACAUGCAGUCAAGAAAGAUGAUCAUCGAAUACAGAACCCGGCUUAUAGUGUUACUCAGAUG